AGUGAAGCGGGAUGAGCUCAAAUUUAAAAUCUGGCUGGUUUACUAGUCCGAAUUGUAGUUUAUAGAAGCGUUUUCGGUGGCAGCCUGGGUAUAAAUCCUUUGGAAUAGGGUAUCAUAGAGGGUGAGAAUCCCGUCUUUGACUCAGUGCAUGCUACUAUGUGAUACGUUUUCAAAGAGUCGAGUUGUUUGGGAAUGCAGCUCAAAAUGGGUGGUAAAUUUCAUCUAAAGCUAAAUAUUGGCGAGAGACCGAUAGCGAACAAGUACCGUGAGGGAAAGAUGAAAAGAACUUUGAAAAGAGAGUUAAACAGUGCGUGAAAUUGUUGAAAGGGAAACGCUUGACACCAGUCAUGCGAGUGGAAAAUCAGUCUUUUGCAAUGGGGAGUUGUGGGCGUUCAGACCGCAAGGCUGGCGUUUGCUUCAUCUUUGUUGUAAGUGAUGCACUUUUUCAUUUGCAGGUCAACAUCAGUUUGCUUUGCUGGACAAAACCCCAAGGGAAGGUGGCAGCUUAGGCUGUGUUAUAGCCCUGGGGCGAUACAGUGGAGUGGACUGAGGUUUUCGCAGUGUGUGCUCUCUGGGCAAGGCUGACUGGGUGCUAUGGGAUCGUUCGGCGUACAAUGCAUGCAUUUUGCGUCGUGUCUUUUUCAUACUCGCUCAACUCGGCUCUUCCACACUUAGGAUGUUGACUUAAUGGUUUUAAUCGACCCGUCUUG
rnacentral:rRNA from 1 species